AUUGAACGCUGGCGGCAUGCCUUACACAUGCAAGCCGAACGGUAACGCGGGGGCAACCCUGGCGACGAGUGGCGAACGGGUGAGUAAUACAUCGGAACGUACCCAGUAGUGGGGGAUAGCUCGGCGAAAGCCGGAUUAAUACCGCAUACGACCUAUGGGUGAAAGCGGGGGAUCGCAAGACCUCGCGCUAUUGGAGCGGCCGAUGUCGGAUUAGCUAGUUGGUGAGGUAAAGGCUCACCAAGGCUACGAUCCGUAGCUGGUCUGAGAGGACGACCAGCCACACUGGGACUGAGACACGGCCCAGACUCCUACGGGAGGCAGCAGUGGGGAAUUUUGGACAAUGGGCGAAAGCCUGAUCCAGCCAUGCCGCGUGUGUGAAGAAGGG
rnacentral:rRNA from 1 species